CGAGCCGAGCGGGCGGCCGCGUCAGGACUGAGAGGUUCUGCCGAGGAACGUCCGGACUCCACAGAGCAGGGUGGUGGGUAACACCCACCCGGGGUGACCCGCGGGACAGUGCCACAGAAAACAGACCGCCGGGGGCCUCGGUCCCCGGUAAGGGUGAAACGGUGGUGUAAGAGACCACCAGCGUCCAGGGUGACCUGGACGGCUCGGUAAACCCCGCCCGGAGCAAGGUCAAAAGGAGUCGCCCAGGCGACUCUGCGCGGACAUUCGAGGGCUGCUCGCCCGAGUCCGCGGGUAGACCGCAUGAGGCCGGCGGCAACGCCGGUCCUAGAUGGAUGGCCGUCUCCCGGCCGACCGCGAGGUCGACCGGCGACAGAAUCCGGCGUAGAGCUCGACUCGUCUG
rnacentral:RNase_P_RNA from 3 species